UACGUAGGGGGCAAGCGUUGUCCGGAUUUAUUGGGCGUAAAGAGCGUGUAGGCGGUCAGGUAGGUCCGUUGUGAAAACUCGAGGCUCAACCUCGAGACGCCGAUGGAAACCAUCUGACUAGAGUCCGGAAGAGGAGAGUGGAAUUCCUGGUGUAGCGGUGAAAUGCGCAGAUAUCAGGAAGAACACCCGUGGCUAAGGCGGCUCUCUCGUACGGUACUGACGCUGAGACGCGAAAGCGUGGGGAGCGAACAGG
rnacentral:rRNA from 1 species